rnacentral:rRNA from 2 species
GCAUAUCAAUAAGCGGAGGAAAAGAAACCAACAGGGAUUGCCCUAGUAACGGCGAGUGAAGCGGCAACAGCUCAAAUUUGAAAUCUGGCUCUCGGGCCCGAGUUGUAAUUUGUAGAGGAUACUUUUGAUGCGGUGCCUUCCGAGUUCCCUGGAACGGGACGCCAUAGAGGGUGAGAGCCCCGUCUGGUUGGAUGCCAAAUCUCUGUAAAGUUCCUUCAACGAGUCGAGUAGUUUGGGAAUGCUGCUCUAAAUGGGAGGUAUAUGUCUUCUAAAGCUAAAUACCGGCCAGAGACCGAUAGCGCACAAGUAGAGUGAUCGAAAGAUGAAAAGCACUUUGAAAAGAGAGUUAAAAAGUACGUGAAAUUGUUGAAAGGGAAGCGUUUAUGACCAGACUUGGGCUUGGUUAAUCAUCUGGGGUUCUCCCCAGUGCACUUUUCCAGUCCAGGCCAGCAUCAGUUUUCCCCGGGGGAUAAAGGCGGCGGGAAUGUGGCUCUCUUCGGGGAGUGUUAUAGCCCACCGUGUAAUACCCUGGGGGGGACUGAGGUUCGCGCAUCUGCAAGGAUGCUGGCGUAAUGGUCAUCAACGACCCGUCUUGAAACACGGACCAAGGAGUCGUCUUCGUAUGCGAGUGUUCGGGUGUCAAACCCCUACGCGUAAUGAAAGUGAACGCAGGUGAGAGCUUCGGCGCAUCAUCGACCGAUCCUGAUGUUCUCGGAUGGAUUUGAGUAAGAGCAUACGGGGCCGGACCCGAAAGAAGGUGAACUAUGCCUGUAUAGGGUGAAGCCAGAGGAAACUCUGGUGGAGGCUCGCAGCGGUUCUGACGUGCAAAUCGAUCGUCAAAUAUGGGCAUGGGGGCGAAAGACUAAUCGAACCUUCUAGUAGCUGGUUUCCGCCGAAGU